AAACCAACCGGGAUUGCCUUAGUAACGGCGAGUGAAGCGGCAAAAGCUCAAAUUUGAAAUCUGGUACCUUCGGUGCCCGAGUUGUAAUUUGGAGAGGGCAACUUUGGGGCCGUUCCUUGUCUAUGUUCCUUGGAACAGGACGUCAUAGAGGGUGAGAAUCCCGUGUGGCGAGGAGUGCGGUUCUUUGUAAAGUGCCUUCGAAGAGUCGGGUUGUUUGGGAAUGCAGCUCUAAGUGGGUGGUAAAUUCCAUCUAAAGCUAAAUAUUGGCGAGAGACCGAUAGCGAACAAGUACAGUGAUGGAAAGAUGAAAAGAACUUUGAAAAGAGAGUGAAAAAGUACGUGAAAUUGUUGAAAGGGAAGGGCAUUUGAUCAGACAUGGUGUUUUGUGCCCUCUGCUCCUUGUGGGUAGGGGAAUCUCGCAUUUCACUGGGCCAGCAUCAGUUUUGGUGGCAGGAUAAAUCCAUAGGAAUGUAGCUUGCCUCGGUAAGUAUUAUAGCCUGUGGGAAUACUGCCAGCUGGGACUGAGGACUGCGACGUAAGUCAAGGAUGCUGGCAUAAUGGUUAUAUGCCGC
rnacentral:rRNA from 1 species